rnacentral:rRNA from 2 species
GGGUUGUGAGGUUAAGCGACUAAGCGUACACGGUGGAUGCCCUGGCAGUCAGAGGCGAUGAAGGACGUGCUAAUCUGCGAUAAGCGUCGGUAAGGUGAUAUGAACCGUUAUAACCGGCGAUUUCCGAAUGGGGAAACCCAGUGUGUUUCGACACACUAUCAUUAACUGAAUCCAUAGGUUAAUGA